rnacentral:rRNA from 1 species
AUUGAACGCUGGCGGCAGGCUUAACACAUGCAAGUCGAACGAGUGGCGGACGGGAGAGUAAUGCAUGGGCAUCUAGCUUAUGGAGGGGGAUAACUACGGGAAACUGUAGCUAAUACCGCGUAGCAUAGGCUGAGCCCGAGUGGGAUUAGGUAGUUGGUGAGGUAAAGGCUCACCAAGCCGACGAUCUCUAGCUGGUCUGAGAGGAUGACCAGCCACACUGGAACUGAGACACGGCCCAGACUCCUACGGGAGGCAGCAGUGGGGAAUAUUGCGCAAUGGGGGCAACCCUGACGCAGCCAUGCCGCGUGAAUGAAGAAGGCCUUAGGGUUGUAAAGUACUUUCAGCGGGGAGGCGUUACCCGCAGAAGAAGCACCGGCUAACUCCGUGCCAGCAGCCGCGGUAAUAC